AUACGGGGGGUGCAAGCGUUAAUCGGAAUUACUGGGCGUAAAGCGCGCGUAGGCGGCUUUGUAAGUCGGAUGUGAAAGCCCUGGGCUCAACCUGGGAACUGCAUCCGAUACUGGCAGGCUAGAGUCUGGUAGAGGGGGGUAGAAUUCCUGGUGUAGCGGUGAAAUGCGUAGAUAUCAGGAGGAAUACCAGUGGCGAAGGCGGCCCCCUGGACUGAGACUGACGCUGAGGUGCGAAAGCGUGGGGAGCAAACAGGAUUAGAAACCCUAGUAGUCC
rnacentral:rRNA from 1 species